rnacentral:rRNA from 1 species
GAUCCUGGCUCAGGAUGAACGCUAGCUACAGGCUUAACACAUGCAAGUCGAGGGGCAGCAUUUCAGUUUGCUUGCAACUGGAGAUGGCGACCGGCGCACGGUGAGUAACACGUAUCCAACCUGCCGAUAACUCGGGGAUAGCCUUUCGAAAGAAAGAUUAAUACCCGAUGGUAUAAUCAGACCGCAUGGUCUUAGUUAUUAAAGAAUUUCGUAUCGAUGGGGAUGCGUUCCAUUAGG